rnacentral:rRNA from 1 species
UGGGGAAUAUUGCACAAUGGGCGCAAGCCUGAUGCAGCCAUGCCGCGUGUAUGAAGAAGGCCUUCGGGUUGUAAAGUACUUUCAGCGAGGAGGAAGGUGUUGUGGUUAAUAACCGCAGCAAUUGACGUUACUCGCAGAAGAAGCACCGGCUAACUCCGUGCCAGCAGCCGCGGUAAUACGGAGGGUGCAAGCGUUAAUCGGAAUUACUGGGCGUAAAGCGCACGCAGGCGGUCUGUCAAGUCGGAUGUGAAAUCCCGGGCUCAACCUGGAACUGCAUCCGAAACUGGCAGGCUAGAGUCUUGUAGAGGG